CAGCCGCCGCGGUAAUACGUAGGGUGCGAGCGUUAAUCGGAAUUACUGGGCGUAAAGCGUGCGCAGGCGGCCUUGCAAGACAGAUAUGAAAUCCCCGGGCUCAACCUGGGAACUGCAUUUGUGACUGCAAGGCUAGAGUACGGUAGAGGGGGAUGGAAUUCCGCGUGUAGCAGUGAAAUGCGUAGAUAUGCGGAGGAACACCAAUGGCGAAGGCAAUCCCCUGGACCUGUACUGACGCUCAUGCACGAAAGCGUGGGGAGCAAACAGGAUUAGAUACCCCUGUAGUCCCUGUCUCUUAUAC
rnacentral:rRNA from 1 species